UAUAGAUGAUUCCAGCUAUACUCACGUGUUUAGUCGACGUAAGUUCGACUAACUCAACCGCGACGUGUUGCGAGCUGAGUCCCUGUGAAAAAGGCUCCCGGAUGGGUUCGAAUAUAGUCAGGCUUACGUCGCCUAAACAAGUGA